rnacentral:lncRNA from 1 species
AAGAAUCUCAACUAUCAUCUCAGCACCGACAGCAACAUGAAUUCACUUCCUACUUUGCACUCCCUUCUAUACCCCUGUACUAGAUGAAGUUCAUUUCAACACUAAUUACUAUGUGGAGUAAUAGUACGCAUUAAUGUGCUAAAGAUUUUGUGAUGAUUAAUGUUGCUGAAAGAAGUGAUGAAAAGUUAAAUGAGAUUAUCAUGGUUUUUCUUUUGGUAGUUUAAUUAAUGUAUUGGAUCUGUAAUGUUCAUUACAUGUAAAAUAACAAAUUAAACUUUAUGCAGUACGCACUACCUCAUACUUGACAGUUCCAUCUAAUAUUUAUAAAACAAAUGUGCCCUGAAAUACAUUUUUUAAGACUCUUCCUUUAUCUGGAAUCUUGAACAACUUUUUCCAUGGUGGACACGUCCAACAGAAGUUUGCACUCUGAGCCAUACUCAUGACAAUGUCAAGAUGUAAGUAGAUAUACAUUUUAACUCAAAAUUUCACGAGGAAAAUAGCUUGAAUUCCAAGAAUCGUAACAAAAGAAUUCUUUUUCGUUUUGAAUGAAGGGGGAUACUGACAAAUUUUGAUACAAUAAACUAAAAGUUAUCAACAGAUGGAAGUUAUGAAGUUAAACUACAAAGAAUAAAGCUAAAAACUACAUAAGCUUCUAGUGAUAUCUAGAGAUGCAUAUUGAUACAAGAAUAAGUACCUGCCUUGAAGUGACUGAUAGCGACCAUUUUGCCUGAGUUAUGUGAUUCCAUAUUAUCAGAAUCUAUAACCAAAGAUAGAGCAACCAAGACAUUAAAUAAUCUCUUGAAAGGAAUAAGAGUUCAGAAUUAACAAAGGAAGAAAAAGAACACAGAGACCUACCAAUAUAACUAACAGACUUGCUCCAGAACCGACUAAUGAAUGAAAAUGUAGAUGAUUUCCAACUUCCAUGGUUUUCAAAUGAUGAACCAUGCAACCUGGCCCCUAACUAAGAAUCAAUGCAGCAAUUAGUAAAGCUACCAUACAUAUUUCCCAUGACAAACAUAUUUUCUAUUUCUAUUAUUUCUCUUUUUUUAAUUCCCUCUUUUUGUAGCAGUGGAGGGGCAUGGAUACGUUAGGCAUUCUCACACAGUUGCAUAUAAGACAAAAAUAAAUAGAAGCUCUGAAUUACUGAAAGGCUAAUAAACAAUGGGUUUUGGAAAUUAUUUCGUGAGAUAUUAAUAACAAAAACUGCUACAGGAAUGGAGACAGAAAGUGAAUAACAUUUAUUAAUCAAGAGAGAAUUCCAUCUUGGCACCUUGCUUCAAUAAAAUUUACACAAAGUACAAUAUUAUUUGUAUUGGUUUUACACCCAGUGGAUAUCAUUUUUUUUUUUGGGGGGGGGGGGGGGGGGGGGGGCACAANNNNNNNNNNNNNNNNNNNNNNNNNNNNNNNNNNNNNNNNNNNNNNNNNAUUCAACUAAUUUAGAAGAAAUGAAAGACGAGUGGAGAUCAUACUAGUGCAUCAAGAUCAAUAAGUAUAUAGAUUAUUUUCAAUUUUCCUUGGAACCAAAAAAAAUAAAUUCUUCUUUUAAGAUUCUUUACACAUGAAAAAAAUGCAGCUAAUUAAAUUCAAAUAUGUUAUUAAAAAAUAAAGGAAAGCUACACUAACAUUCAUCAAGUUGUUUGAAGUUCCCUUGAAGAUGUGGGGAUUAUAGUAAUCUAAAUACCACAAUAUACUGAUUGAGAAGUUUUAAUAUUUAUAUUGUUAUGGAUUAAACGAUUAAUCCGUACUAAUAUAGGGGACGACCUAGUACAUGUGUGAAUUCCACAGAGUACACCUACAAAACCCCACACCAGGGGGCAGUAGAAGCCACCCUGGCCCUGUCGACCUUACCACAGCCGGAGGGGAAAAAUUGUACACUACAUAAGGCUCCACACAACAAAAAUAUAUCAUACUUUGCAUUGUCAUUUGAUUGUGAUUAUAGUAGCAGAGUGAUAACAUAAGAUGAGACUAAAGCAAUAAGGAAAUUAAAAAAAAAAAAAAAAAAAAAAAAAAAAAAAAAAAAAAAAAAAAAAAAAAAAAAAAAAAAAAAAAAAAAAAAAAAAAAAAAAAAAAAAAAAAAAAAAAAAAAAAAAAAAAAAAAAAAAAAAAAAAAAAAAAAAAAAAUGAAAACGAAAACGAAAACGAAAACGAAUCUUAGAUAAUUAAGUAAACAAAAUCUGAUAAAAACAUUAAAAAAAAUUGCUUCCAAAGAGAUACUAUAUAAUCAUAAAACAAAGACAUUUACAACAGAUACUACAUAAACAUAAACCAAGAAGAGAUAGAAGCAAUAUGAAUAAUGAAAAACACGAGACUUUAUUUUUGUCAAACUCUCUCUCCUUCACUAGGAAAGGGAGAGCGGACAAAGUACCAGAUUGGGAAUGAUUUUGGGUAAGAAAAGCGUACGAUAAGAGUAAGCAGAUGAUGUCGAUAGAAGACGAUUUGAAGCAUAAAGAGAGA